rnacentral:lncRNA from 1 species
CAUUCCUCUAAGCUGCCCAGCUCCCCUUUCUUUCUAACUAACUCCGCUGGGCUACAGAGUUGUCUUCACCCUGCUUCCUGCUCAUCACUUCAGCAGCAUCUUCACUAACACACCAAACUUCCUUUCUCUUGUCUUCCCAGCUUCCUUGUGGAGUCCUUCUAAACGCAGUGUCUAAUCUGCUUCCUCACAAGUCUCAAGAUCUCCAAAUCUCGCUCUAUUCUUUAGCUUGAGCUCCUUGCCCACUAGGGGCCAGCUGGAACAAUAAGACUCAGGACAAUGAGCUUUCUGUUGUUAGCAGGUCGGGGCCCCCUUGAUGCCAAAGAGACUUGCUUGGAAGAAGAGGGCAAAGGACACCACUGCGACCUUCACAGAAGGCUUAGCUUGGAAUGCAGAAGAUUGCUUGCGUUUCUAGGCUCGGGUAGGAAGAUGAAAGGCCCUGACGGAUUGCCAGAAGUUGUGGCUGC